rnacentral:rRNA from 1 species
GUGGGGAAUUGUUCACAAUGGGCGCAAGCCUGAUGACGCAACGCCGCGUGGGGGAUGAAGGUCUUCGGAUUGUAAACCCCUGUCGAAUGGGACGAAUGGCCCGGGUACUAAUAAGGCCCGGGAAUGACGGUACCGUUAAAGGAAGCCACGGCUAACUCUGUGCCAGCAGCCGCGGUAAUACAGAGGUGGCAAGCGUUGUUCGGAAUUACUGGGCGUAAAGGGCGCGUAGGCGGCCUUCUAAGUCAGACGUGAAAUCCCCCGGCUUAACCUGGGAACUGCGUCUGAUACUGGGAGGCUUGAGUAUGGGAGAGGGAUGUAGAAUUCCAGGUGUAGCGGUGAAAUGCGUAGAUAUCUGGAGGAAUACCGGUGGCGAAGGCGGCAUCCUGGACCAUAACUGACGCUGAGGCGCGAAAGCUAGGGGAGCAAACGGGAUUAGAAACCCGAGUAGUCC